rnacentral:rRNA from 1 species
AACGAACGCUGGCGGCAGGCUUAACACAUGCAAGUCGAACGCCCCGCAAGGGGAGUGGCAGACGGGUGAGUAACACGUGGGAACAUGCCCAAAGGUACGGAAUAUUCUCGGGAAACUGGGAGCAAUACCGUAUGUGCCCGAAAGGGGAAAGAUUUAUCGCCUUUGGAUUGGCCCGCGUUGGAUUAGCUAGUUGGUGGGGUAAAAGCCUACCAAGGCGACGAUCCAUAGCUGGUCUGAGAGGACGACCAGCCACACUGGGACUGAGACACGGCCCAGACUCCUACGGGAGGCAGCAGUGGGGAAUUUUGGACAAUGGGCGCAAGCCUGAUCCAGCCAUGCCGCGUGAGUGAUGAAGGCCCUAGGGUUGUAAAACUCUUUCGUGGGGGACGAUAAUGACGGUACCCCAAGAAGAAGCUCCGGCUAACUUCGUGCCAGCAGCCGCAGUAA